CUGCAGCCAAUUAAGCCAACUGAGUUCCCUUCCUUAUGGGGGCCCCAGUGUGCAGUCGCUGCAAACAGCAGCUUCCGGCCGGGCGCGGUGGCUCAAGCCUGUAAUCCUAGCACUUUGGGAGGUCGAGACGGGC
ensembl:snoRNA SNORA70 Small nucleolar RNA SNORA70